ACGAGCCACAUGCAGGGAAACUUACACGUGUGGUUCUGGCUGGGCUUUGUUCUUUAUUGUUUUGCUGAAUUCAAUUAUGAUUCAGU
rnacentral:ncRNA from 1 species